AGAACGAACGCUGGCGGCAUGCCUAAUACAUGCAAGUCGAACGAACACUUCGGUGUUAGUGGCGCACGGGUGCGUAACGCGUGGGAAUCUGCCCUUGGGUUCGGAAUAACAGUUGGAAACGACUGCUAAUACCGGAUGAUACCGAAAGAUCAAAGAUUUAUCGCCCAGGGAUGAGCCCGCGUAGGAUUAGCUAGUUGGUGAGGUAAAGGCUCACCAAGGCGACGAUCCUUAGCUGGUCUGAGAGGAUGAUCAGCCACACUGGGGCUGAGACACGGCCCAGACUCCUACGGGAGGCAGCAGUAGGGAAUAUUGGACAAUGGGCGCAAGCCUGAUCCAGCCAUGCCGCGUGAGUGAUGAAGGUCUUAGGAUUGUAAAGCUCUUUCACCGGAGAAGAUAAGUGACGGUAUCCGGAAGAAGAACGCCCCGGAUUAACUUCGUAGCCAGCAGCCGC
rnacentral:rRNA from 1 species